ACGAUGAGUGCUAGGUGUUGGGGGGUUCCACCCUCAGUGCUGAAGUUAACACAUUAAGCACUCCGCCUGGGGAGUACGACCGCAAGGUUGAAACUCAAAGGAAUUGACGGGGGCCCGCACAAGCAGUGGAGCAUGUGGUUUAAUUCGAAGCAACGCGAAGAACCUUACCAGGUCUUGACAUCCUCUGACCACUCUAGAGAUAGAGCUUUCCCCUUCGGGGGACAGAGUGACAGGUGGUGCAUGGUUGUCGUCAGCUCGUGUCGUGAGAUGUUGGGUUAAGUCCCGCAACGAGCGCAACCCUUGACCUUAGUUGCCAGCAUUCAGUUGGGCACUCUAAGGUGACUGCCGGUGACAAACCGGAGGAAGGUGGGGAUGACGUCAAAUCAUCAUGCCCCUUAUGACCUGGGCUACACACGUGCUACAAUGGAUGGUACAAAGGGUUGCGAAGCCGCGAGGCCAAGCCAAUCCCAAAAAGCCAUUCUCAGUUCGGAUUGUAGGCUGCAACUCGCCUACAUGAAGCCGGAAUUGCUAGUAAUCGCGGAUCAGCAUGCCGCGGUGAAUACGUUCCCGGGCCUUGUACACACCGCCCGUCACACCACGAGAGUUUGUAACACCCGAAGUCGGUGG
rnacentral:rRNA from 1 species